CGGAGCAUACUCAUACUAUUUUGUUGAGUAAGAUUCUGCAGUCUAACAUAAGAUUAGGGGAUGCCCAUCUAAACAAGAAGGAUCCCUCGAUGGUUUUAGCCAGGUGGGUGGAACUUCAGCAAUCUGUAAAUGUGCUCUUUACCAGUAACACUUCUGGAAAAACAGAAUAUGUUUAUGCUCGUGUGAAGCUUUCAAGAUAUUCUUUAGAGGUUCUGUCUGAAGAUUUACCUGC